AACGCUGGCGGCGUGCCUAACACAUGCAAGUCGAACGGAGCUGCGACGCUGAUGAUUGGAGUACUUGUACGAAGAGAAUCUGUCGUAGCUUAGUGGCGGACGGGUGAGUAACGUGUGGAUAACCUGGUCCAUCCAGGGGGAUAGCAGCUGGAAACGGCUGGUAAUACCGCAUAAGCGCACAGAGAGGCAUCUCUCGGUGUGAAAAGAUUUAUCGGGAUGGAAUGGAUCCGCAUCUGAUUAGCCAGUUGGCGGGGUAACGGCCCACCAAAGCGACGAUCAGUAGCCGGCCUGAGAGGGCGGACGGCCACAUUGGGACUGAGACACGGCCCAGACUCCUACGGGAGGCAGCAGUGGGGGAUAUUGCACAAUGGAGGGAACUCUGAUGCAAGCGACGCCGCGUGGGUGAAGAAGUAUUUCGGUAUGUAAAGCCCUAUCAGCAGGGAAGAUAAUGACGGUACCUGAGUAAGAAGCCCCGGCUAACUACGUGCCAGCAGCAGC
rnacentral:rRNA from 1 species